GUUUCUUGCUGACUUGUGUGAUUUUAUAAUAUAUUUCAGAUAUUAAUCUCUUGUUGGGUUAGAGCUUGGUUAUCUUAGAGCUGAGGAGUGCCCUUCAACGGUAAGUCCUGCCUCAAGAUAUAGCCAGAAAGUCUCAGAAAUAGAAAAAAGACCUUGAGACUUGAGACAGAAUAAACUGGUGGUGAUUCUCUGUGCAACAUAUACUUCCUUAUGACCCUAAGGACCGCUGGGGUUAUCUUGUCAUUAAAUCUACUAAUAUCUGACGUCAUUCACAACUUCCUGAUGACUUCAUUCAUGACUUCCUUUGCCUACCUAAUCUUCAGUUAUUGGCAAGACAUAUUACUGUCAUUAUCAUUUUGCUUUUAUUACGCAGAUGAAAAAUGUUUGCUGUUGAAAAAUACUCAAAAUGAUAACAAAAUUCUGAAAAACCACCUGCAACUCUGCCACCCCGAGAUGACUAUGGUUAAUCUUUUAGGAGGCAUUCCAAUCCCUGGAAAUGAAUGGCUGAGGAGAUGCAAGCAUCAUAUGACAAAUGGGCCUCCCCAUCCACCCCUGUGCUCUAUCUUAAUCUUUCUUGUAGAACUUACUACAUUUACUAUAGCUAUUUGUUCAGGGAUUAUUAGAACAGGAGUCAGUUGACUUAGGUUCUAGUUCCACCUUUGAUCUGCCAAAGAUUCCGUUUUUUAAAAAGAGGAGACCUUGAAAAUCACGCCAGGGGGGUUUGGACUUCCAUCUGUAAGUGAUUGGGAACUGUUGAAGGAUUUGAAGCGGUUGAAUCAUUCAAGAUAAUUUUGGUAGAGGAACUUCUCCCUGGAAGCAAUGAUACAUGAAUGUAAGUGAAUGAAAAUUACAUUUAUUGAGUACUGGGCAUUGUGCUAGAGGUAUUAUCUAUGAUAUUUCGCCAGGUCCUUUCAGUACUAUAGUAUACAGAUGAUUGCGCCCAAGUUGGAGACUUGGCACGUUUGAAAUUUCUAACUGUCUGAAGUUAAGCAAUGUGCUCAAAGGCACACAGCUAGUAAGUUUUGGAGUUAAAUCCAGCGCAUUUCAACUAACUGGUUUCUUUCCAGGCACAGUGGCUAGUUCGAAAAUUAUUUCAGCAGUCUGGGUCAGAUCAAUUCCCAUUUAAUAGUGAGAAGUUCAAGUGUCUAGCAAGCUGCAUUCUUACAGCAGCAGCUUUGUUAGUUGCAGGCUGUCCCCAGGGGUUUUUCCCUCUGACUCAGACACAGCAGGGGAAUCCUGAGGGAAGCUCAGCUUUUACUUCUUGAAUUUCAGAGUCCUGACACACCCUGUAGUGAUUGCAGAUAGAGAUCUGAGUCCUUGUCAACAAAGAGAUAGAAGGAGGGACCUUGGGUAAGUCCCUUCUCUCUGGACCUCAGUUUUGUCAACCAAAAAGGAUUGAAUGAUGUCUAAAGUUUUCUUUCAUUCUAACACUCAGGAAUCCCUCAUUGUAUAUAAUGUGAUGCUGAGUUCUAGGAGGAGCUUAAUAAUGGUAUUGGUGAUUUGUAGGAAUUAAGCCAACAGAAUUUCAUUACACACAGAACUAGUUGAAGGUAGGGUGGAAGAGGGGUAUAAAAAAUACUUAGUUACUUAACUUUUAUAUAUGUAGCCAUGUUAUUAAAUUCUGACCAAUGGGGCGUACAUGGAAUUAGUGUUGACACUUUUUCAGGAAAUAUUCUUAUAGGGAGGGACCUGAUUUUCUCCUUCCUAUUUCUGCUUCUGGUUGGCUGAGAUAAAGUAGAUAUGCGGAUGAGCUGUUUAGAGCUUGGAUCACAAGCUGGAAGCUACAUGUUGAAAACAGCGGAGCAGUACGAAGGAUGGAAUCUGGGUCCCUGAUGAUAUUUAAGCCUCUAUACAAACCUUGAACUGCUUAUGUUAACAGAAACUUGAGAGAGAAAUACACUUCUAUUUUGUUUAACACGUUAUUGUUUUUGUUUUACUGUAUGUUGCAGCUGAACUGAAUACAGGGAAUAUUUUCAAAAAAGCACAUUGCCUUCAUAAAUUUUCUUUCAAAGAACGCUGUUGAAAAAGCAUUUUGAGCAAGAGUACAAUAACCUUCGCAAUCAGACAUGGCAGAUCUGAUCUGGGGGAUGGUCAGGGGAUACCUACCCACUUGGCCAACAGUUAAGUUUUAUUAGGGCUAGUAAUUUUUAUAAAAAUACUACAAGUUUUACUAGGACAAUAACUUGAAUAUUUUAUGCUAAUUUCCUAAACUGAUCCUUCUAUUUUCACUGAAAACAUUUACGUUUCUAUUCUUUAGAUGAGGUUGUUAAUACAAAAGCAAUUUAUUUUUCGUGAAUGGAGUUAGGUGGAGCAAAAAAAUAAAGGGAUAGACGAUUGUUCCAAAUCAUUUUAUUUCAUGGGAUAUAUUUUUUGCCACUGAGUUAAAAAAACACAUUUGUCACAUAUUAAAUUCCUAUAUGUAAAUAAACAGGUGAAGAAUAAUGGCCAAGAAUUUUACAAAUUUCAUUAAAAAAAUCAAUCCACAGACCCAAGAUACUCAAAAAAUCUCAGGCUGGAAAAACACAAGGCAAACCACACAGAUGAACAUAUUUAUUAAAUUUCUGAAAACAAGAGAUGAAGAGAAAAAUCUUAAAAACAGCCAGAAAAAUAUAUGUAUAGAGGAACAAAUAUAUAAAUCUAAUUUCUCAUCAGAAGCUAUGCAUGUCAGAAGAAUGGAAAAAGAUCUUUAAAGUGCUGAAAGAAAAAAAGAAACUGUAAACCUGGAUUUUUAUACCUGAUAAAAAUAUCCUUCAAAAAUGAAGGCAAAGUGAAGAUUUUUCAGAAAAAAAUCUGAGAGAAGUUUGGCUAGCAGACCUGGAUGACAAGAAAUGUUAAAAAAUAAGUUCUUCAGAUGGAAAGAAAAUGAUAACUGAAGAUUUGGAUCUACAGAAAGGAAUGAAAAGCUCCAGAAAUGAAAAGAAUCUGGAAGUUGCACAAGUCAGAUGCACAGGACAGUGCUCAGAGCUGUGAGGACUCCAGAGGAGGCCAGGUGUAUGGCAAGUGUACCCAAGAGCCCCAUCUUCUGUUGAUGUAGGCCCAGGGGCCUGGCCAUGCCUAAUCCAAGGAACCCUGUCCCUUCUCUGAUAGGGGAGUGCACCCCUGAAAAAUUGCAUGAGCACAGUCAC
rnacentral:lncRNA from 1 species